UGCCAGACUCCUACGGGAGGCAGCAGUAGGGAAUAUUGCUCAAUGGGGGAAACCCUGACCCAGCAACGCCGCGUGAAGGAAGAAGGCUUUCGGGUUGUAAACUUCUUUUCUCAGGGACGAAGAAAGUGACGGUACCUGAGGAAUAAGCCACGGCUAACUACGUGCCAGCAGCCGCGGUAAUACGUAGGUGGCAAGCGUUAUCCGGAUUUACUGGGUGUAAAGGGCGUGUAGGCGGUAUGUCAAGUCAAGGGUGAAAUCCCCGCGCUCAACGUGGGAACUGCCUUUGAAACUGGCAAACUGGAGUGUGUGAGAGGAUAGUGGAAUUCCAGGUGUAGGAGUGAAAUCCGUAGAUAUCUGGAGGAACAUCAGUGGCGAAGGCGACUAUCUGGCACAUAACUGACGCUGAGGAGCGAAAGCGUGGGUAGCAAACAGGAUUAGAUACCCCUGUAA
rnacentral:rRNA from 1 species